AAUUGAUAAAGGCAAACUUAUUGAAAGAUAAGGACGCAAAACCAUGGGUCUAAGGUUCAAGACUAUGAUCGCCAGGUUGCCAAA
rnacentral:ncRNA from 1 species